rnacentral:lncRNA from 1 species
GUUUCGGACGUGGCUGUGGUGAUUUCAGCUCCUGAGGGCAGUUAAAGGCAUGCAUUCGUCUUUUUGUAUAUUUUCAUAGUCCCUAGCGAGUCCGAAAAAUCACAUUAACUGUACAUAAUAAUUAUGAUUUUACUUACUCGCUUUGUUAGCGCACUUGUGCAUUUUAGACGGGCUAAGGUCUUAUUUAUCAUUGUAACAUUGCGAAGGUGGUUGCUGUGUUGUUUUCAUCAUGGUGUGGGCCCCGCACUUUUUCUUGAUGGAUGAUAUUACAUUAUCUUUACAAGGUGAACAGUUGAUAAAUGUUUUGUGUGCAUUUUACAUAGUAAAUUAUUGUACAUGUUUAGUGCAGAGCAAUCAUAUGCAAGGAAGAACGAGAAUGGUACUGAGUCCGGAAGGAGGCUGGCUACAAGGCUUUUCAUGGGGAACGACAGCUCUUCACCACAGGCUGCACCACUAUCUUUUGCUGAUACUGGAGCUGCAGAAGACGAUGCUUCUGGCAUACCAGAUAUGGGGGAUGCUUAACCGAAUUGACGAGGAAAGAUCUCGAAAUGUGAAACGGGUAUUGCUUGUCGAAUACUUUGUGCAACAAAUUUCCUAGAGCUUUCUUACGCGAUACUCUUGAAGUUAAACUGACAUGCAAGUAUGAAAAAAAACUAAAAAUUGUAUAAGGGGGGGGGACAGUGCUGUAGUGAUAGCACACAUGCUGUAUUUUCAAGACUGUUUGUAUGUAGGGAGAACUUGCAGAACAGCAAAGGCACAGGGGCACAAUCCGCAUUAUCUCAACACAAGUGCACUUAGGUGUCAUUUGUUACUAUUUAUCGUGUACCUGUUUCUUGGCUGUACUUCAAGCUUUCUCAGGAAUAGAUUACCAAUGUGCCCAGGCCUAAAACUUGUCGAUACUUUGUCCUUUCCUCUUCAGUUUGCUUUCUAGAGGUGAGUGUUAGGCAUAACUAGCCGAGUUAUUUGCCAACUAUGCUUGGAAUUCUAGGAAUGAAUGACAGAUGAAACAUAUGUACUGUACAGUGCGGUCUUUUGGUAACAAUAAUCACAUGCCAGAAAAUUUCAUCAUUAUAGCCGACUAUUGUUACACAGGGUGUUACAGCAAUGAAUGUCUGAUUAUUAAUAGAAAGGGAUUCGAGACAAAAGGAUAAUUUUUGCUGGCCAAGAUUCAUAGCAGUAGCAAACAUCAGAAUUUGAGCAAGUUG